rnacentral:rRNA from 1 species
GACGAACGCUGGCGGCGCGCUUAACACAUGCAAGUCGAACGGAAAGGCCUGCUUUCCCUUGUGGAUUGCGGGUACUCGAGUGGCGAACGGGUGAGUAACACGUGAGUGAUCUGCCCCCAACUUGGGUAUAAGCCUGGGAAACUGGGUCUAAUUCCCGAUAGGACUGCAGGGUGGUGCCUGUGGUGGAAAACGAUUUUCUAGUGGUUGGGGAUGAGCUCGCGGCCUAUCAGCUUGUUGGUGGGGUAAUGGCCUACCAAGGCGGCGACGGGUAGCCGGCCUGAGGGGGUGGACGGCCAAGUUGGGAUGGGGGUACGGCCCAGACUCCUGGGGGGGGCGGAGGUGGGGAAUAUUGCAGAGUGGGCGGAAGCCUGAGGCAGGGACGCCGGGGGGGGGGUGACGGCCUGGGGGUUGGAAACUCCUUUCGACCGGGAGGAAGCCACCUGGUUGGAAGGGUGGGGGGGGGAGUGGUAAAAGAAGCACCGGCUAACUCCGG